GUAGGGGUGCCUGAGGAGAAAGGGGUGCUGGUUCUUCCUUAUAUCCCCUGCCUGCCUCAGCUGGGCUCUGACCCAGCCAGCAGACUGGAGUCCUCUUCUGCAUGAACCAAAAGAACUAUUUCAGAAUGUCAGCUGAAAAGCACGAUAUUCCAGAUAGCUUAGAAACCUUGGCAUAGUGCCUUCCUGGAAAUCCUGGAUUGCAUCUAAAACCAUGUGGCAGAGGGAGAAACAACAGACAGGACAUCCUGAGAAGACUCAGGCUGGGACGAAAGCUCUGCUCUCCAGGGACAAAGCAGCAGGGGACCAGCCAUGCUCAGAAAUACUCCACUGGCCAGUGCACAUUUUUUUGAGCAAUUUCACUUGCUUCCUCACCACCUGUCCCCCUAACACUUCUAUUAAAGUGGCAAAUAAAUCUGAUACCCAA
rnacentral:lncRNA from 1 species